AUUGAACGCUGGCGGCAGGCCUAACACAUGCAAGUCGAGCGGAUGAAGGGAGCUUGCUCCUGGAUUCAGCGGCGGACGGGUGAGUAAUGCCUAGGAAUCUGCCUGGUAGUGGGGGAUAACGUCCGGAAACGGGCGCUAAUACCGCAUACGGCCUGAGGGAGAAAGUGGGUGAUCUUCGGACCUCACGCUAUCAGAUGAGCCUAGGUCGGAUUAGCUAGUUGGUGGGGUAAAGGCCUACCAAGGCGACGAUCCGUAACUGGUCUGAGAGGAUGAUCAGUCACACUGGAACUGAGACACGGUCCAGACUCCUACGGGAGGCAGCAGUGGGGAAUAUUGGACAAUGGGCGAAAGCCUGAUCCAGACAUGCCGCGUGUGUGAAGAAGGUCUUCGGAUUGUAAAGCACUUUAAGUUGGGAGGAAGGGCAGUAAGUUAAUACCUUGCUGUUUUGACGUUACCAACAGAAUAAGCACCGGCUAACUUCGUG
rnacentral:rRNA from 1 species